rnacentral:lncRNA from 1 species
UAUAUAGUUUAAAAAAAUAAAAGAAACAAAAUCAAACACCAAUAGUUUCGAAAAGAAGAAAAAAUAAAGAGAAAAAUAAAAAAAUAUAAAAAAAGGAAAAUAGAUCUUAUACCCAAAAAAGGUUUCUUGAAUCUGUUUUUUGCUUUUUUAUUUCUUCAAAUCGUGAAAGAGGGCCCCCUUUUUACAAAACAUAAAGAUCGGUCCCCCC